ensembl:lncRNA
GACAUACCAUCAUGCCACAGUCCAUUUGUUCAUUUGUGCUUGCAGUCUGAAGCAAAUGGAGUUGAAGCAACUUUCCCAAGGCUGAUUCCUUGUAAAUGACAGAGUCACUUCUUCAUUUAUUUGGCCGUAUCACGUAGUUGAUGAAACGAUUCCACAGACAAUCCCACUGUAUUAUUAUAAAGUCAUUACACCCUCGCUUGAUUUGAUUUCUGGUCAAUCCCUCAAUGGUCCUUCAGUGUCAUGAUCACUCUUCACUACACACAUCAUCAUCAAGGGAAAAAAAAUAAGUAUUUUUCUAUCUGAACUAAGCCAUUUAUCAAUAAGGAACUUUCAAGAUUGUUAAUGCAUGAAGUGUUUUGCUCACAUCUGAUCUUAAUUUCUUCUAUUAGCUUCAUUUCCAGUUUUCUAAAUAUUUGAUUAAAACUUAAGAAAAAGGAGUUCUAUGGCUUUGUUUUCAUUGGCAUGUGAAAGUUAGAGAUAGUUUCUAAAUAAGUAUAAUCAACUCUAAUCGUCUGUUUUCAUGGAGAAACACGGGAGCAAAGAUUAUUCUAAGUAGUAGAUGAUCAAAGACAUAUUCAUGUCUUCCUGAAUAAUCAUAAUUUUCUUGUGCAGAUGCUACAUUAAUUUUUAUCCCCUGGCCUUUCAUCAAGCAAUCACGAAGAAAGAAGUAUAAAAAUCACAAUCUGAAUAGUAAAAGAAAAGCUCAAACAUUUCCCCAACAUAAAACACAUUGGUGAUGAGUGAACCUCAGUGGAACACUGAGUUUUCUAAAUAUAUUUUACACUUUAAAGCCAGAAUGUUUUCUAUCUUUAAUAAGUGUAAGACACAGAUUUGACAGACACAAAAUCAAUAUGAAUAGCAUUUGUUUAACUUGAAUCUAGAGAAACAGCCUCUUCUUUCAGAAAAGCAUUCCUGCUAAAGAAAACUAUAUUCACUUUCAUUUCUCAUCAUUUGGAAAAUGACAAGAUUGAAUUAAUGCAAAUGUUCAGAUUUUUACAUAGUCAAAUACCCUCAAGCCAGGAUCUACGCUGGCAAAUUAGAAUGCUGUAUUUCUCUAGCAAAUUUACAAUCAAGUGGAUUAUUUUGCUGUUUAAAUAAUCAGGAUUGAACAACCUCUACAACCAGCAGGUAACUGUGAACCCCUGUGCUAGUGUUUCUUCAACAUCAGCUGGAGCACCAGUGAGGAAGUAUAAAUGGCAAGAGAGGUGGAUGUUCUGUUUGAUUUCUAGUCCUAAAUCGGCCACCAAAGAGACAUGUGGCCCUAGGCAAAUUACUUCACCUCUGUUGGCCUCAGAAUCCUCAUCUAUAAAAUGUGAAAGUUGCACUAAAUGACUUUUAAAAUCACUUCUAGUUCCGUGGGUUUUAUGCCUACGAGGAGAAAGUGGGGGAGACAGGACCCCUCGAGCAACAGGCUCAGAGUUUUGUAAUAAAAUCCAGCCGGGAAUCAUCCUCCUGCCUUCGCUCUAAUUAUGUCCUUUUCUUUCCCACGCACUCCCCAGCACACUAUUAGGAAAUACAACGAGGAAGAAAGCAAACCUCCUGUUGCAUGCAAAAAGCAGCUCUUCCCUCUGGUAAAGGGCUGGGUGAGCUGGAGCCUUUCGCUGACCAUAUCGGAUUAUAUUUUAAUUAGAUGUCAAGUUCUAAAACCACGAAGCCGACAUGAUAAAGAGCAGGCUAAUUCAGGGUCCUAAUUUCAGAGCCUCCAGUAUCUCUUAAUUUAUGUACUGAUAAUCUCCUGGUAAUUCUCCGGGUGCUGCCGCCGCGUCCAGGAUCCAAAUUCUCCUGCUCCGCAAGGACUCGCUCUCCGGCCAUCCCCGGGAGUUUCCUCGUCCUGCUCGCCGGGCUCACGUAGAACCUCCGCUCCUCGCAGCCAAACCGCCGGCCUCCGCGGGAGCGAGGGAAGCGAACCGCAGCGCAUCUGCCGCCGAGCCUUUGGUGGAAGUGUGGCCAAUUAGUCACACGUUUGGUGUUCUAAUUAGGCGAGGCUGGGACUUUGGAAAAUGUGCUGUUGAUUUAGCCGAAAGUGAUGAGGAGAGAAAGAGAAGUGAAAAGCCAGAGUCUCCACUGGUGAAAUAUGUUAGGCCUCAGAGACCAGCCCUUUUCCAGCAUUUGACCCUGAACAGUGAUAUACAGGAAGGAACAAAGUUGGAGAGCUAUCAUGGUGAGGCCCUUUUAAAUAAAUCAUUAGAGAAGAAAUACGGCGACUGCACGGGAAUGUAAUCUCAGAUGAUGGCUAUAAACUCAGCUUUGUUUGAAAAUGGAUGGCAUGGGGGAGGAACCAUUAAGAAGUAAAUGAUUAUAAAUUCUGCCUUAAAGCCAAUCUCUUCCUGCUGCUGCUGCUGCUAAGUCGCUUCAGUCGUGUCCGACUCUGUGUGACCCCAUAGAAGGGAGCCCACCAGGCUCCCCUGUCCCUGGGAUUCUCCAGGCAAGAAUACUGGAGUGGGUUGCCAUUUCCUUCUCCAAUGCAUGAAGUGAAAAGUCAAAGUGAAGUCGCUCAGUCGUGUCCGACUCUUAGUGACCUCAUGGACUGCAGUCUACCAAUCCUCCAUUGGAUUUUCCAGGCAAGAGCACUGGAGUGGGGUGCCACUGGGGCAUGAACUUCAUCUAUGU